UCCGAGGGAGAGGAGGCUUAUCUUUCAGUGUCAUUGGAUAUUAACAAAAUGCCUCCCCACAAGCUGGGCCAAUCUAUUUCAUACCAGUAGAGGAGCCUGUGUAGCUCCACCCUCCCCACAGCUCCUGCAGCCCAUUGUCCAAGCGGGCACCCAAUGGCCACUUGUGGGUAUCAUCUGGUUCGGCUGCUCUUGGCAUUUCUGUAAAGACUUUUGCCAGGCAUAAGUAAUUAUUUUAAAUUAUGUGUUCGAAGCCAUAUUAGCGUGCCUUCUGACGAUGCUUUGAGUGAAGGGAAGACUAAAUCUCUGAAAAUGCAGCUCUUAUCACUGAUGACAUCGUUUGCUGAAGUCUGAAGGUUGUCCCGGAUCCUUUAAUAGGAAACAACAUUUUAAUAUCAUCUUACUAGAAGAGCAUCCAUGGCAGACGUAACCUAAGACAACCUGUUCCAUGCAGUUCUCUGAACACUGGAUUGGUAGAAGAAAGGAAAACUGUUCGUCAUGGUGAAGAUGUUAGGACAUCUACAGUGUCCUAACAUUUUACAGUGCAGGAUGGACUACAGAGUGCAGGAUCUACGGAGUGUAGGUUCCUGGCCUCUGAAGCACACUGCAUCUGUGGAGGUUCUGCUCAUACCAUUUCGCAGCUGUGUCAUUUCGAGCACCCUGCUGUCACUCUUUGUACUUCCGCUCCAGCCUCUAUAAAGUGGCCCAUCCUGCAGUGCUACGUGCUAACACUGGACACAAGAGGGGGAUGCCCAAGCUGAUGCAUGAGUGUUUAUUAG